rnacentral:lncRNA from 1 species
AUGGAGUUGAUUCGCAGCUCAUAGCAAAAGCUCAUGAAUACAUGGACUUGUUCUUUGGCAUGCAACUCUCACAGAAGCAAAGGGCUCAGAGAAAGACUGGUGACCACUGCGGAUAUGCCAGUAGCUUCAUUGGCAGGUUCUCCUCCAAACUUCCAUGGAAAGAAACACUUUCUUUCAGAUAUAGUGCUGACAGCCACUGCUCAGUCAAUGACUAUUUUGUGAAUGUAAUGGGUGAAGAUUUCAAAGAAAUCGGGUAAGAACACAUAAUCAAGAGUAUAAUGUUGUGCUUCUGCAAUAAAAGAAAUAUAUCUACUCAAACUAAUUUCAUGAUCUCUAUAAGUGGAUUAUGUCAUCACUAAUCACUAAACCAACAAAUAAUCAUCAUGAUCUCAUACAUUACCAAUAGCCCUUUACUUAUGCAGCAUAUUUUUUCCCUGCUAGGAAGGUGUACCAAGAAUACUGUGAAGCCGUGAGCAAUCUCUCCAGUGGGAUAAUGGAGCUGCUGGGAAUGAGCUUAGGAGUUGGCCAAGAGUAUUUCAGAGAAUUCUUCGAAGGAAACGAUUCAAUAAUGAGGUUGAACUACUAUCCCAGAUGCCAAAAACCAGAUUUAACACUAGGAACUGGGCCUCACUGUGAUCCCACUUCCUUAACAAUUCUUCAUCAAGAUCAAGUAGGCGGCCUUCAAGUGUUUGUAGAUGAAAAGUGGCGCUCUGUUACUCCUAAGCCUGAUGCUUUUGUUGUCAACAUUGGUGAUACAUUUAUGGUAAGUUAUUUCAUUUAUGAAUUAGGCUCAGUUUGUUUAGACAGAAAAUCUUUUUCGUUUUUCCCCCUACGAAAAGUCUACAAGACUCCAACAUGUGGGACAAAAACAGGACCUUCAGAAGACUUUCUACACAAAAUAUGAGGCAUUCUUUAUGGAUUUGAAUAUAUGCUUUCUCUGAUGUGAUUUUUCAGGCUCUAUCCAAUGGGAUUUACAAGAGCUGCUUGCAUAGAGCAGUGGUUAACAACAGAACUGUGAGGAAAUCUCUUACUUUCUUCCUUUGUCCCAAAAAGGACAGGGUGGUGACCCCACCAAGAGGUUUGGUUGAUUCCAAGAGCCCAAGGAUGUACCCGGACUUUACCUGGCCGACUUUGCUAGAGUUUACACAGAAACACUACCGGGCUGACAUGAAGACGCUGGAUGCCUUCUCAGACUGGAUUAUAAAUAAAAACAACUAACCAUGAAAGAAGCACCAGGAAAAGUAGGUGUACGUAAUGCUUUGGUGGGUGUUCAUGGGAAAAGAUGACAGAAACACCAAGAAGGGAGGAGAGGGAACUAGGCUGUUAACUAGUGUGUCAUCGUCGGAGAGAAUCAUGUCAGUUUGGAGGCAUAAAUAAGUUAAGGGGCUCCAUAUCUUCUUAAUUUUACUUUUCUGUCAAUUCAACAAUGAAUCAUUGUAAUUAUAAUAUAUACUUUGUUGACCACCAAGCUGUGUUGUUAUUGGACUUCCAUAAACUAUUCUAAUUAAUAUCUGCAUGUACAGCCGUCAACUUCCAAAGAAAUUAUGCCUCUCAGCUUGAUAUCAAAGUAAAGGAACAAAUAGAUAGUAUUAUUAAAAUCUAGAACAAUGUAUACUUUACUAUAUCUUAAUUACUAUGAGAAAUUAUAUGCAGGGUGAGGUUUUUCUCAUUUCAUCCUCACAAGUAUCGACAGUGACGUGAGUUUUAACAACUAGGGUAAUGUCCUUUGCUUAAGAUGCACAAAGUUUUAAUAUAUAAAUUGGUGUGCAUCUUUGCUUUUUACUACUUCAACAAAAAGUGAAAAAUAGUUUUUAGGUAAACAUUAAAGAAAUACUUGUAAAGAGAACAUAAGGAUUAGAAUUAGAUUCACAACCAAGCACUAUAACUAUUUUAUAUUAGGUUUUUCUAGUUUUAAUAUUAUCAGUUAUAUCUGUCUAGUUCAGCAACAUUGCAAUGGAGCUCAAAAUCAAUUCUUUGUCAAAUCAAUUGAAAGAACUACCAUUUGUUGGUAACAUGAAAGGUUACUAAAUUUUGCUAAAUCCUGAGUAUAAUCUUAUUACUAUUGCACAUGUUUACUUACCGGAAAUGGAGGAAGCCAUGAAUCAGGGAAUUUAGAUAAGAGAAUCAAGGUAUUGGAACCGGAUCAACUACUCCCCCUAGUUGAUACCAUUCCCGAUUUUGAGGGUAUUUAAUUACGAAUUUUACUGUGGAAUUCGCAUAAUAUUUUAUUCCUUGCUUGUUAGUAAACGCGGAAAAUCAGGAAUUGGAAUCAUUCCAAUAUGCAUGCGUUAGUAAACAGAGGAGAAGCAUAUAUUGGAUUCAUUCCAAUACCCAUUUCUGAUAAGUAAACAUUCCAAAGACCCUUUGUUAAAUAAAACUGUUAGAAGACUACAUAAAUGUAAUUAAGACAUAUUUUUAUUAGCCUAAUUUUAGCCAUAAUUUUUUUUAGUAAAAAGAAAACACCAACUACAAAAAAAAAAUUUAAAUAAAUAAAAUAUUUUUUAAAAAAACCAACAACAACAACAAUUGGAAAGCAAAGCAUUACCAGAACAUCCAUGGCUGAAACACCAAGAAUUGGGAAGAGCUCACCCCAUGUCAGCUGCUGAGUACCCACGAAAACCCAAGAGCUUGAAGCCUCAGACAACAACAAAGUGAAAAGGUUGAAGCAAUUCCUCAGUUGCCCAACUGAAAACCAUCAAAUUGAAGCCAAUGCGUGAAGGACCAAAGAUAGGCCAAGGCGUAGCGAAGCAGAGUGUGGAGGUCAAGCUUGUGAGCUUAAGGGCUGGAGUGGAUGUCAAACUUGAGAGAGAACGAUCGGGUUUUGUGAGGGAGAUUUUAAAAAUAAAACAAAAUGAAAAAGGCCAAUAUUUUACUUCUUACUUUUUCAAAACCAUUUUUUUAAUGUCUGCCCAAAUAUGGUUUUGAAUACCUUUUGC